rnacentral:lncRNA from 1 species
UUAGUAAUUUCUUAUGCUCAUGCUAUUUAAAGAAUAAUCAAUUUCUAUUGUUAUGAAUAACAAUGGCCUUUGUUUGCGGGAUGUAGAAGCAGGGGUUUCCAGAAACCCCGCUUGUUACAGACAAUUGUAAAAAUCCAUUGUUAUUCGUAACAAUAGAUCUAUUCAAUUUACACGUGUUUCAAAAAUAGAAACUAUGUAGUAUAACAAUAGAACUGGGGUGUAACAUCAAGUAUACAUUGAUUACAUUCCCGUUGGUUUGCUUUUUAUAGUUUUUGAGUUAGCAUUUAGUUUAAAGUAUGACAAACACUUGCACGACGGAAAUUGCACAUUCAGAUGUAGGUCUACAUAAUAUAAGAUCAAAAAUGAAAUAAUGAAGUAAAUCGUAAAAUUUAAUCGUAUUGCUGAUUAAAAAUUACUGUUAAAAAAAUUUGAAACUAAUUAUGUUUCCUUAAGAUCUUGCCCCGAGCUGAGAGACAAGUUCUAAUCAAUUUUAUAUUUUUGGAUUAACAAUACCAAUCAAUAUACUGGACAAUUGAUCCGUCAAAUUAAUUACCCCCACGACAAUUUUUAAAGAAAACACAACUAUUUAAUAAUGUCAAUACAAAUUUAUAUCAAAUCUAUUAAA